rnacentral:lncRNA from 1 species
GUUACAAGUUGCCCAGUUACCCCGGCUUCUGAGAUGAAGAAUAUUAUUGAAGUCAAAUCUGGUGGCUAUCACACUCCAUGGAACUUGGGGCAACAUUUAGGUACCUCUACCCAGGAAAGAAUCUCUGAGAAAUAGGUGGCAGUUUCUCUAGCAGCAUAAGAAGAACCUUGAUAAGCAUCAUCCUUAAGUCCUGACAGCAGUGGAUGACUAGUCAGGAACCUGUCCAGGGUUAUUCUCGUCCAUGACCCCAGAGCCAGGGAGAAUCUCACCAAUGCAGCCCAGGGCACCUCUGAUAACAUCUGAGCAGAGUGAGGGAGAAGAAA